AGAACGAACGCUGGCGGCGUGUUUAAGACAUGCAAGUCGCACGGGACUUUUCCAAGUAGCAAUACAAGGGAAAGUCUAGUGGCGCACGGGUGAGUAACACGUGAAUUACAUGCCCUUCAGUGGGGAAUAGCCCAGGGAAACUUGGGUUAAUACCCCAUGGUAUCGCGAGAUUAAAGGUGGCCGCAAGGCUGCCCGCUGAAGGAUUGGUUCGCGCCCUAUCAGCUUGUGGCGGGUACGCCACAAGGCUACGACGGUACCUGGUCUGAGAGGACGAUCAGGCACACUGGAACUGAGACACGGUCCAGACA
rnacentral:rRNA from 1 species